rnacentral:tRNA from 1 species
GUUGUGGCUCAGAGGCAGAGUGCUUGCCUAGUAUGUGUGAGGUAUUGGGUUCGAUUCUCAGCACAACA